UACUAGUUAAGGGCCUGUCUGAAUGUCA
rnacentral:piRNA from 1 species